GUGAUAAAAUUGGGACAGGUUUACCUUUACACUGUGCGUGUGGACUUUCCCAAAUCGAAGAAGUUGCAGGCAUGUAGACAAUGCUUGCGCAUGGCAGUGGGAGCGUGUAGCAUUUGACCUUAGCAGGCGGCGUUGCCGAGACGAGGAAGUUGUUAGGAUUAAGAAUGAACAUCCUGAUGAUAGCCUAUGUUGAUUGUUGUGAAUAUAUAUGAAGAUGAGUGAUGUUGAUAUCCACUACUAUUAUUAGAAGCAUUGGUUCUCAUAUCUAGGCACAACACUGUGAAAUAACCAAUAAGAAGAGCCUUCUUUUAAAUUCUACCAGGAUAGAAAAUUGUGAAAAUUGUAAUGUCAUGCAUGCCAUGAUCUAGUCAUCUAGACAUAAGUGUAAGAAUGAAUACGUUGAAAAUACUGGUACACGAAAAUAUGGAUAAUGAUAAUUCUUGGAUCCUUAAUUCUUAUGGACCUUA